rnacentral:rRNA from 1 species
GAUGAACGCUGGCGGCGUGCCUAAUACAUGCAAGUCGAGCGAACAGACGAGGAGCUUGCUCCUCUGACGUUAGCGGCGGACGGGCGAGUAACACGUGGAUAACCUACCUAUAAGACUGGGAUAACUUCGGGAAACCGGAGCUAAUACCGGAUAAUAUAUUGAACCGCAUGGUUCAAUAGUGAAAGACGGUUUUGCUGUCACUUAUAGAUGGAUCCGCGCCGCAUUAGCUAGUUGGUAAGGUAACGGCUUACCAAGGCAACGAUGCGUAGCCGACCUGAGAGGGUGAUCGGCCACACUGGAAGUGAGACACGGUCCAGACUCCUACGGGAGGCAGCAGUAGGGAAUCUUACGCAAUGGGCGAAAGCCUGACGGAGCAACGCCGCGUGAGUGAUGAAGGUCUUCGGAUCGUAAAACUCUGUUAUUAGGGAAGAACAAAUGUGUAAGUAACUAUGCACGUCUUGACGGUACCUAAUCAGAAAGCCACGGCUAACUACGUG